AUCGACCUCAGUUCCACACUCAUUGAACAAACCACCAUAAAGUCCCUGAUGAACUAAUGAGCUUGUGCAACCAGUCUCUGUGAAUUAUGACCAGUUCUCAGACCUUUAUAUUACACAUGAGUAACAAUGUCUACUACCAGUCAUUAUUUCUUCUCCACCUACCACGGCUACUGUUACCAAAUCGCGAUGCUGACGACCUAUGGUAAUGCUGAUAUUUGCCUGACCCAUAAGAAGUUGAAUGAUCAAAAUCACCGGAUGUUGAAAAUCUAUGGUGAUGAUAAUUGCCUGACCCAUAAGAAGCGGAAUUAUCAAAAUCAAGCCUGUUGGACUUUCUGGAUGAACGGGAAACAGAAGCAUGACCACCAGAACUGGAGUUCGAAAUCUUAGCUCUCUUGUUUCUAGGAGUCGAAGGAGAUCUCCAAUUAUUAGAUUGGGGAUAGUCUUCAAGAUCAUCCGGGACCCAACCGCCCCUUCGUUUCACCUUAUAGCCCGACGUAUAUCCGCCUUCAGUUUUUCCUUUCUUCUUCCAUGCCCUACCAAAAUCACGAGGUACAGACUUGAACUCUUUUUGCUCAUUUCUUUUCUUGGAGUCGAAGGAGAUCUCCAAUUAUUAGAUUGGGGAUAGUCUUCAAGAUCAUCCGGGACCCAACCGCCCCUUCGUUUCACCUUAUAGCCCGACGUAUAUCCGCCUUCAGUUUUUCCUUUCUUCUUCCAUGCCCUACCAAAAUCACGAGGUACAGACUUGAACUCUUUUUGCUCAUUUCUUUUCUUGGGGACUUUCUUCUUGGGGGUUGAUAAUUCAUGUUUCCGCUUAUUGACUCUGCUGGGAUUAGUACAUUCGCGUGCAAAAUGACCUUCUUCACCACAUCUAUAGCAGGGAUUAAGUGACCCAGUACAGCUAGUCUCCGCACGAGAUGCUGUGCAUGCCAAACCAGUAUGGCCUACUAAACCGCAUCUGUAACAGGAAAAUUCUCUCGGACCACUAUCAGGGUAUUUUGCACAGCAAAGAUGGCCAAAACUCUUACAGAUGUAACACAGUAUUUCCUUUAAAUCAUCGUUAGAAUAGUUGUUCCUGCAUGAAAACAUUUCAUGGCCAG
rnacentral:misc_RNA from 1 species